rnacentral:misc_RNA from 1 species
GAUGAAGAACGUAGCGAAAUGCGAUAAGUAAUGUGAAUUGCAGAAUUCAGUGAAUCAUCGAAUCUUUGAACGCACAUUGCGCCCACCAGUAUUCUGGCGGGCAUGCCUGUUCGAGCGUCAUUUCAACCAUCAAGCCCUGCUUGUGUUGGGGUCCUGCGGCUGCCCGCAGGCCCUGAAAACCAGUGGCGGGCUCGCUAGUCACACCGAGCGCAGUAGCACAUCUCGCUCAGGGCGUGCGGCGGGCUCCAGCCGUUAAAGCACCCACCUUUCGCAAGGUUGACCUCGGAUCAGGUAGGAAUACCCGCUGAACUUAAGCAUAUCAAUAAGCGGAGGA